UUCCGGUUGAUCCUGCCGGACCCCACUGCUAUCGAGGUGGGACUAAGCCAUGCCAGUCGAACGACCCGGACUAUGGCGGGGAGUGGCAGACUGCUCAGUAACACGUAGCUAACCUACCCUCGGGACGGGGAUAACCCCGGGAAACUGGGGCUAAUACCCGAUAGGUAUGGAUUCCUGGAAUGGUGCCAUGCCUAAACGUUAACACACCAUGUUUGUGUACACGCCUGAGGACGGGGCUGCGGCCGAUCAGGCAGUUGGUGAGGUAACGGCUCACCAAACCUUUGACCGGUACGGGCCGUGAGAGCGGUAGCCCGGAGAUGGACACUGAGACAAGGGUCCAGGACCUACGGGUCGCAGCCGGUACGAAACCUCCACAAUUCACGCAAGUGAGAUGGGGUUACCUCGAGUGCCAUCUGAAGAAGGUGGCUUUUCCAUGGUGUAAUGAGCCGUGGGAAUAAGGGGGGGGCAAGACUGGUGUCAGCCGCCGCGGUAACACCAGCCCCCCGAGUGGUGGGGAUGAUUAUUUGGCCUAAAGCGUCCGUAGCCAGCUCGGUAAAUCUCUCGUUAAAUCCAGCGUCCUAAGCGUUGGGCUGCGAGGGAAACUGCCGAACUAGAGGGUGGGAGAGGUCAGCGGUAUUCCUGGGGUAGGGCGAAAUCCAUUGAUCCCAGGAGGACCACCAGUGGCGAAGGCUGCUGACUAGAACACGCCUGACGGUGAGGGACGAAAGCUGGGGUAGCGAAUCGGAUUAGAUACCCGAGUAGUCCCAGCCGUAAACGAUGCAGCUAGGUGUUGGGUCGGCCAUGCGCCGCCUCAGUGCACAGGAAAGCCAUUAGCCUGCCGCCUGGGGAGUACGGCCGUCAAGGCUGAAACUUAAAGGAUUUGGCGGGGGAAGCACCA
rnacentral:rRNA from 1 species